GCUCCGGUGGCCUAGUGGUUAAAGCGACCACCUCGGAUGCGGGUGUGUGUGUGGUGGUCGUGGGUUCAAUCCCCGGUCAAGGCA